rnacentral:rRNA from 1 species
AGCCCGCGGCCYUCAGCUWGUUGUGAGGUAACGGCUCACCAAGGCGACGACGGGUAGCCGGCCUGAGAGGGCGACCGGCCACACUGGGACUGAGACACGGCCCAGACUCCUACGGGAGGCAGCAGUGGGGAAUAUUGCACAAUGGGCGCAAGCCUGAUGCAGCGACGCCGCGUGAGGGAUGACGGCCUUCGGGUUGUAAACCUCUUUCAGCAGGGAAGAAAGCGAAAGUGACGGUACCUGCAGAAGWAAGCGCCGGCUAACUACGUGCCAGCAGCCGCGGUAAUACGUAGGGCGCAAGCGUUGUCCGGAAUUAUUGGGCGUAAAGAGCUCGUAGGCGGCUUGUCACGUCGGGUGUGAAAGCCCGGGGCUUAACCCCGGGUCUGCAUUCGAUACGGGCAGGCUAGAGUGUGGUAGGGGAGAUCGGAAUUCCUGGUGUAGCGGUGAAAUGCGCAGAUAUCAGGAGGAACACCGGUGGCGAAGGCGGAUCUCUGGGCCAUUACUGACGCUGAGGAGCGAAAGCGUGGGGAGCGAACAGGAUUAGAUACCCUGGUAGUCCACGCCGUAAACGGUGGGAACUAGGUGUUGGCGACAUUCCACGUCGUCGKGCCGCAGCUACGCAUUAAGUUCCCCGCCUGGGGGAGUACGGCGCAGGCUAAACUCAAGGAAUUGACGGGGCCCGCACAGCAGCGAGCAUGUGGCUAUCGACGCACGCGAGACUUACAGCUUGACAUACACGGAAGCAUUAGAGAUAGUGCCCCUUGUGUCGGGUACAGGUGGUG